rnacentral:snoRNA from 1 species
GUACACGUUUCAUUGUCCUGCUUUCUUUUAUGUAUCUGAGCAGUGUUAUUUCCUAUGUGCUAUAUACAAGCCCUGGUGGUGCAGGGGUUAAGACCGCGGAUGCUAACCAAA